rnacentral:rRNA from 1 species
UACGAAGGGGGCUAGCGUUGUUCGGAAUCACUGGGCGUAAAGCGCUCGUAGGCGGCUCUUUAAGUCAGGGGUGAAAUCCCGAGGCUCAACCUCGGAACUGCCUUUGAUACUGGGGAUCUCGAGUCCGGGAGAGGUGAGUGGAACUGCGAGUGUAGAGGUGAAAUUCGUAGAUAUUCGCAAGAACACCAGUGGCGAAGGCGGCUCACUGGCCCGGUACUGACGCUGAGGAGCGAAAGCGUGGGGAGCAAACAGG